rnacentral:rRNA from 1 species
GAUUGAACGCUGGCGGAAUGCUUUACACAUGCAAGUCGAACGGCAGCACGGGGGCAACCCUGGUGGCGAGUGGCGAACGGGUGAGUAACACAUCGGAACGCGUCCUGUAAUGGGGGAUAACCUGGCGAAAGCCAGGCUAAUACCGCAUACGUCCUGAGGGAGAAAGCGGGGGAUUGGCAACGACCUCGCGUUAUAGGAGUGGCCGAUGUCGGAUUAGCUAGUUGGUGGGGAAAAGGCCUACCAAGGCGACGAUCCGUAGCUGGUCUGAGAGGACGACCAGCCACACUGGGACUGAGACACGGCCCAGACUCCUACGGGAGGCAGCAGUGGGGAAUUUUGGACAAUGGGGGCAACCCUGAUCCAGCCAUUCCGCGUGAGUGAAGAAGGCCUUCGGGUUGUAAAGCUCUUUCGGCCGGGAAGAAAUCGCAUCUCCCAAUACGGGGUGUGGAUGACGGUACCGGAAGAAGAAGCACCGGCUAACUACGUGCCAGCAGCCGCGGUAAUACGUAGGGUGCGAGCGUUAAUCGGAAUUACUGGGCGUAAAGCGUGCGCAGGCGGCUCACUAAGACAGAUGUGAAAUCCCCGGGCUUAACCUGGGAACUGCGUUUGUGACUGGUGGGCUUGAGUGCGGCAGAGGGGGGUGGAAUUCCACGUGUAGCAGUGAAAUGCGUAGAGAUGUGGAGGAACACCAAUGGCGAAGGCAGCCCCCUGGGAUAACACUGACGCUCAUGUACGAAAGCGUGGGAAGCAAACAGGAUUAGAUACCCUGGUAGUCCACGCCCUAAACGAUGUCAACUGGUUGUUGGGGGAGUGAAAUCCCUUAGUAACGAAGCUAACGCGUGAAGUUGACCGCCUGGGGAGUACGGUCGCAAGAUUAAAACUCAAAGGAAUUGACGGGGACCCGCACAAGCGGUGGAUGAUGUGGAUUAAUUCGAUGCAACGCGAAAAACCUUACCUACCCUUGACAUGUCCAGAACCCUGCAGAGAUGCGGGGGUGCCCGAAAGGGAAUUGGAACACAGGUGCUGCAUGGCUGUCGUCAGCUCGUGUCGUGAGAUGUUGGGUUAAGUCCCGCAACGAGCGCAACCCUUAUCAUUAGUUGCUACGCAAGGGCACUCUAAUGAGACUGCCGGUGACAAACCGGAGGAAGGUGGGGAUGACGUCAAGUCCUCAUGGCCCUUAUGGGUAGGGCUUCACACGUCAUACAAUGGUCGGUACAGAGGGUUGCCAAGCCGCGAGGUGGAGCCAAUCCCAGAAAGCCGAUCGUAGUCCGGAUUGUUCUCUGCAACUCGAGAGCAUGAAGUCGGAAUCGCUAGUAAUCGCGGAUCAGCAUGUCGCGGUGAAUACGUUCCCGGGUC